AGCACCUAAGUAAAUAAAAGAAGCAACACGAGCAUUCAGUCUUUUUCAGAUUAACAGCUGAAUUAAGUUCGUAUCAGUUGAAUUUGAGAAUUCUUUAGGCACACUUCUAUGUUUGAAAAAGGUUAUCCACGUGAACAGCAGCAACCGUCAGUAAGGAGCGUUUAGUUUCAUCAAAAAAUAUUGAGGAGUUAGCUACAGAAGAUGCCAUCGAAUGUGGAGCAGAAGAAGUUGAAGUCUCUGAUGCCGCUGCAGGGCUUGUUAAUGUAAGGCGUUUAGAAGCGAAAUCUUCGAAUGCUGAGAAUACUGAACUUCCAUGUUUCUAUUAGUUUAUUUGCAGACCUGAAGAGUUGCUUUCCUUGCGGAAAUCGAUUGAAACAAAAAACUAUAUCAUCGAAAAUAUGGAACACAUCUAUACGCCCGUGAAAUAUGUGGAGUUGCCUUCAGAGGAGCACGCGGGCUAUGAAAAGUUUCUUGCCAAGCUUCAUCAGAUUUCCGGUAUAGAAGAGAUUUAUGACAAUUUGUUGGAUACAAGAGAUUAAUAAAUUUAACAUAUU